rnacentral:rRNA from 1 species
GACAGAGGUGCCGAGCGUUAGGCGGAAUCACUGGGCUUAAAGCGUGUGUAGGCGGACUUCUAAGUACCUUGUGAAAUCCCAUGGCUCAACCAUGGAACUGCUUGGUAUACUGGUUGUCUUGAGCCACUUAGGGGCAGUCGGAACAGAUGGUGGAGCGGUGAAAUGCGUAGAUAUCGGGAGGAACACCAAUGGCGAAGGCAGCUCGCUGGGACGUGACUGACGCUGAGACGCGAAAGCGUGGGGAGCAAACAGG